AUACACGUGUUUUUAUGAAUGUGAUUUAUCACAAGCUCAUAUCUGCAUGUCCACGUGAGGACAUUUGGGGCAAAAACAUUGUUGAAUUUCUUUUAAUCAUUAGUAUGCAUAAUAUUAAACAGCAGUCUAUGGAUUUGCUUAAGCAUGAUUUAUGGUUUUGUAGUUUGAGUCUCUUUAUUGUUCUUUACUUAUUUGAAGCUUUAUGAUGUAUGGGGUUUCUUCAAUUUUAUUUACCAUCACUUCAACGCAUCUCCAUUUCCGUAACCUCUAUUGCUUGCAGAUUCGAACUUUAGGAAUGCUAAGGUCCAAAUUUCAAUCAUUGCCUGCUGCUUUUAAUGCCUGUUUAAUUCCGGUGGAAAAGAGUGAGCCAACAAAAAAGAAAGGACUACUGAAGUCCACUUUUUCUCGGAACUUUGCUCAGAUCCCAUCAAGCAAUGAAAAAGCAGCAGCAAGAUUUGCUCAGUUAUGGAACACAAUAAUCAGCAGUUUUAGAGAGAGGAUCUUAUAAGUGAUAGGGAAAUGGACCUGUUGCUUGUUCCAUAUUGGGCUGACCGUGAGGUGGACCACAUACAAUGGCCUCCAUUUUUGCUUGCUAGCAAGGUUUGUCACAUGGUUCAAAUUUGUUUAAAAUGGAAGUGUUGCGAAAUUCCCAAUUGGAAGUGUUGCGAAAAUGGAAGUAUUGUAAUAGUAUAUAACAUGAUAUCCAAUUUUAUUUAUUUAUUUAUUUUUUCAAUAAAUUUGA